AGCAUGUUCAGAAAAGAACACUAAAGGAGUGGCCAAGCAUCUAUUUGAUAAGAGAUGAGUACGUAUGGGGACAAUGGACUUCAUCAGUCACUCUAGCAGGAAACUUGGUUUCAACUAAAGAAGGAGGAGACAGGAGUACAUGAAGGAUUUCUUGGAUUUCACAGGACAAGUUCAUAGAGCUAUCUGCCUCAGAACUUGCCCCAUUCCUCAAAACAAUGAAAGAAUGACUCUGAAGGCAAUUCAGAGACCAUCAGGGCUGCCUCCUUGAUUUCAAAAUAGGGAAACUAUUGCUUUGCUGUCAAUAAGCCUUGGGGGCAGGGCCACCUUACAGAGCGCUGAGGGCGCAGAGCUCCCAGGACUGGACAGCCACUCCAGUGAGUCUGGAAGGCACAGCAUUGAGCCCAAGAUGAGACUAACAAUCUAAUGUAGUUUGCCUUGGAGGAUACAAUGAGAAGCCGGCUGUCUGCAACCCUGAAGAGGGUGGGCCGUCCUGAUCUUGGAUUGCCAGUUUCCAGAACUGAAGCAACUGGAAUGUUAAAAUGAAGAAAAAUGGAUGAGAAAAUGAUGACACAUCUAUUCAAUGGGAUAUUAUGUAACAAAAUAAUUAGGAAGACUAUGUUACAACAUGAAGCUCAGUAUACGAUGUUCAAUAUAAAAUGUCAAAACAUAAAAUUACAUGUGCACAAUGAUUGCAAACAAAUGAAGUAAUGUAUGAAAAAUUCUUAGAUGGGAUUAUAACUAAAUAAUUGUAGUUGUUCCAUGGGUGGUGAGAUCAUGUCAUUCUCUAAUUUCCAACUUUUGUGUCCAGGAAAACUAUCUCAAGAUUUAUGGUCAAUGAACUGACAUGACUUACCUUUAAAACAUAAUAAAAUGAAUCUAAGUUAUUAAAUAGAUUAAGUUGGGCACAUUAUUGCAAUUUGGUGGGUUAAGUUGCAGAACAGCUGUCUUUAUCCCUUUAUCCUUUAAUUAUUUUCUAUGAUUUAUUUACUUAAACUCUUAUGCAAAAUGCCAAUAAUUCAUUUCUUAAAUUAAAGAGAGGUUUAUCAAAUUAAUCCUUAGAAAAUCUCCUUUGAAAGCAUUCAGAAUGCAGUUUAAAAUUAUGUUUCUUUAAAGAUACACACAGACGAUCCACAAUAUUUCUAUAACUUCUUAUAAGAUGAUUUUCCCAUUUUCUGUCCUUAACUGUAUUUUUCUUACGCUGGACCGCUUUCAUUUCCUUAAUUAUGCCAAAUCACAUCUGGAGUAUUUAGAACACCUUUUUUAGCAUGUUCACAAAAUGGCUUUUUUAUAGGUAAGGGGAGAGAACGUCAAUAUAAGUUUUAUAGGUAGAUGAUCAAAAGUAGAGUGUGUUUUCUAAAAAGGCAUGUUUGAAACCCACAUAUUAGUAAAUUCUCCUGGUGUGAGAUGUUGCCACCUGAGUUAGGUCCACAAUCUUAUUUUGUUUUUCCUUUGGACCCUCUGGUAUCCCCUACGUGAGUCUAUUCUUCUCUGUCUUCGUGCCUUAAUAAAAAUAAUUUAUUUUUAAAA